UAACCAAGAUGUAUCUUUACACACACAUCCGCCCGGGUACUACGAGCACAGCUUAAAACCCAAAGGACUUGGCGGUGCCUCAGACCCACCUAGAGGAGCCUGUUCUAGAACCGAUAAACCCCGUUAAACCUCACCACUUCUUGUUUUUCCCGCCUAUAUACCGCCGUCGUCAGCUUACCCCGUGAAGGCCUAGUAGUAAGCAAAAUUGGUACACCCAAAAACGCCAGGUCGAGGUGUAGCGAAUGAAGUGGGAAGAAAUGGGCUACAUUUUCUACAAACAGAAUACUACGGAUGGCACCCUGAAAACAUGCCUGAAGGUGGAUUUAGUAGUAAAAAGCAAAUAGUGUGUCCUUUUGAAUUAGGCUCUGAGG
rnacentral:rRNA from 1 species